AGGUUACUGCUAUCGGUGUUCGCCUAAGCCAUGCGAGUCAUAUGUUCUUCGUGAACAUGGCGUACUGCUCAGUAACACGUGGAUAACCUGCCCUUGGGUCCGGCAUAACCCCGGGAAACUGGGGAUAAUUCCGGAUAACGCACAUAUGCUGGAAUGCUUUAUGCGUCAAAUGGACUCGUCCGCCCAAGGAUGGGUCUGCGGCCUAUCAGGUAGUAGUGGGUGUAAUGUACCUACUAGCCUACGACGGGUACGGGUUGUGAGAGCAAGAGCCCGGAGAUGGAUUCUGAGACAUGAAUCCAGGCCCUACGGGGCGCAGCAGGCGCGAAAACUUUACAAUGCGGGAAACCGUGAUAAGGGGACACCGAGUGCCAGCAUCAUAUGCUGGCUGUCCGGGUGUGUAAAAUACACCUGUUAGCAAGGGCCGGGCAAGACCGGUGCCAGCCGCCGCGGUAACACCGGCGGCCCGAGUGGUGAUCGUGAUUAUUGGGUCUAAAGGGUCCGUAGCCGGUUUGGUCAGUCCUCCGGGAAAUCUGACGGCUUAACCGUUAGGCUUUCGGGGGAUACUGCCAGACUUGGAACCGGGAGAGGUAAGAGGUACUACAGGGGUAGGAGUGAAAUCUUGUAAUCCCUGUGGGACCACCUGUGGCGAAGGCGUCUUACCAGAACGGGUUCGACGGUGAGGGACGAAAGCUGGGGGCACGAACCGGAUUAGAUACCCGGGUAGUCCCAGCCGUAAACGAUGCUCGCUAGGUGUCAGGCAUGGCGCGACCGUGUCUGGUGCCGCAGGGAAGCCGUGAAGCGAGCCACCUGGGAAGUACGGCCGCAAGGCUGAAACUUAA
rnacentral:rRNA from 1 species